rnacentral:rRNA from 1 species
UACGUAGGGUGCAAGCGUUGUCCGGAAUUAUUGGGCGUAAAGAGCUCGUAGGCGGUUUGUCGCGUCUGCUGUGAAAACUCGGGGCUUAACUCCGGGCCUGCAGUGGGUACGGGCAGACUAGAGUGCGGUAGGGGAGACUGGAAUUCCUGGUGUAGCGGUGAAAUGCGUAGAUAUCUGGAGGAAUACCGGUGGCGAAGGCGGCAUCCUGGACCGGCAUUGACGCUGAGGAGCGAAAGCUAGGGGAGCAAACGGG